GAUGAACGCUAGCGACAGGCCUAACACAUGCAAGUCGAGGGGCAGCGGGGAGCGAAGCUUGCUUUGCUCCGCCGGCGACCGGCGCACGGGUGAGUAACGCGUAUGCAACCUGCCCGUUUCAGCGGGAUAACCCGGAGAAAUCCGGCCUAAUACCGCAUGUGGCCGAGGGAAGGCAUCUUCUUUCGGCCAAAGGAGGCGACUCCGGAGACGGAUGGGCAUGCGUGACAGUAGCUUGUUGGCGGGGUAACGGCCCACCAAGGCGACGAUGUCUAGGGGUUCUGAGAGGAAGGUCCCCCACACUGGUACUGAGACACGGACCAG
rnacentral:rRNA from 1 species